rnacentral:rRNA from 1 species
ACUGCUAUCGGAUUGGGAUUUAGCCAUGUUAGUUGUGCGCGCUCGGCUACGAGUGGCGCAGCGUACGGCUCAGUAACACGUGGUCAACCUACCCUGGAGAUGCGGAUAAACCCGGGAAACUGGGACUAAUACGCGAUAGAUGACCUCAUCUGGAAGGAGAGGUCGUCCAAAAGGCUGCACGGGUAUGCUCCGUGCAUUCCGCUCCAGGAUGGGACUGCGGCCGAUCAGGCUGUUGGCGGGGUAAUGGCCCACCAAACCUGUAACCGGUACGGGCUUUGAGAGAAGGAGCCCGGAGAUGGACACUGAGACAAGGGUCCAGGCCCUACGGGGCGCAUCAGGCGCGGAAACUUCGCAAUGCGCGAAAGCGUGACGAGGCUAGUCCGAGUGCUUCCCGCUGAGGGAGGCUUUUCUCGGCUGUAAAUAGGCCGGGGAAUAAGGGGAGGGCAAGUCUGGUGUCAGCCGCCGCGGUAAUACCAGCUCCUCGAGUGGUCAGGACGAUUAUUGGGCCUAAAGCACCCGUAGCCGGUUCAGUAAGUCCUCUGUCAAAUCCAACCGCUCAACGGUUGGGCCGCAGGGGAUACUGCUGGACUAGGAGGCGGGAGAGGCGGACGGUAUUCCGCGUGUAGGGGUAAAAUCCUUUGAUCCGCGGAGGACCACCAGUGGCGAAGGCGGUCUGCCAGAACGCGCUCGACGGUGAGGGGUGAAAGCUGGGGGAGCGAACCGGAUUAGAUACCCGGGUAGUCCCAGCCGUAAACGAUGCGAGCUAGAUGAUUCAAUCGCAGUUCGCGAUUGAAGUGUCGCAGGGAAGCCGUUAAGCUCGCCGCCUGGGGAGUACGGUCGCAAGGCUGAAUCCACGAGGCAGAGGAAUCUCUGACUCGCGGCAGUUCACUUAAAGGAAUUGGCGGGGGAGCACCACAAGGGGUGAAGCCUGCGGUUCAAUUGGAGUCAACGCCAGGAAACUUACCAGGAGCGACAGCAGGUUGAGGGUCAGGCUGAAGACUUUACCUGACGAGCUGAGAGGAGGUGCAUGGCCGUCGCCAGCUCGUGCCGUGAGGCGUCCUGUUAAGUCAGGCAACGAGCGAGACCCUUGCCGGUAAUUGCUAGCCGAGGUGCUGAAUCUCGGAGGCUAGUUACCGGGACUGCCGCUGCUAAAGCGGAGGAAGGAGAGGGCCACGGCAGGUCAGUAUGCCCCGAAACUCCUGGGCCACACGCGGGCUGCAAUGGUAGGGACAGUGGGUCCCGACCUCGACAGAGGGAGGCAAUCCUCAAACCCUACCCCAGUUGUGAUUGAGGGCUGAAACCCGCCCUCAUGAAUAUGGAAUCCCUAGUAACCGCGUGUCAUCACCGCGCGGUGAAUACGUCCCUGCUCCUUGCACACACCGCCCGUCGCUUCACCCGAGUUGGGUUUAGGCGAGGUCAGCUUUAAUUGGGCUGAUCGAACCCAAGUUCGACAAGGGGGGAG